rnacentral:rRNA from 1 species
AGUGAACGCUGGCGGUAGGCCUAACACAUGCAAGUCGAACGGCAGCACAGUAAGAGCUUGCUCUUACGGGUGGCGAGUGGCGGACGGGUGAGGAAUACAUCGGAAUCUACUUUUUCGUGGGGGAUAACGUAGGGAAACUUACGCUAAUACCGCAUACGACCUACGGGUGAAAGCAGGGGAUCUUCGGACCUUGCGCGAUUGAAUGAGCCGAUGUCGGAUUAGCUAGUUGGCGGGGUAAAGGCCCACCAAGGCGACGAUCCGUAGCUGGUCUGAGAGGAUGAUCAGCCACACUGGAAAUGAGACACGGUCCAGACCCCUACGGGAGGCAGCAGUGGGGAAUAUUGGACAAUGGGCGCAAGCCUGAUCCAGCCAUACCGCGUGGGUGAAGAAGGCCUUCGGGUUGUAAAGCCCUUUUGUUGGGAAAGAAAAGCAGCAGGUUAAUACCCCGCUGUUCUGACGGUACCCAAAGAAUAAGCACCGGCUAACUUCGU